rnacentral:rRNA from 1 species
UACGAAGGGGGCUAGCGUUGCUCGGAAUCACUGGGCGUAAAGCGCACGUAGGCGGAUCUUUAAGUCAGGGGUGAAAUCCCGGAGCUCAACUCCGGAACUGCCUUUGAUACUGGGGAUCUUGUGUUCGAGAGAGGUGAGUGGAACUGCGAGUGUAGAGGUGAAAUUCGUAGAUAUUCGCAAGAACACCAGUGGCGAAGGCGGCUCACUGGCUCGAUACUGACGCUGAGGUGCGAAAGCGUGGGGAGCAAACAGG